rnacentral:rRNA from 1 species
AAGUCGAGCGAACAGACGAGGAGCUUGCUCCUCUGACGUUAGCGGCGGACGGGUGAGUAACACGUGGAUAACCUACCUAUAAGACUGGGAUAACUUCGGGAAACCGGAGCUAAUACCGGAUAAUAUAUUGAACCGCAUGGUUCAAUAGUGAAAGACGGUUUUGCUGUCACUUAUAGAUGGAUCCGCGCCGCAUUAGCUAGUUGGUAAGGUAACGGCUUACCAAGGCAACGAUGCGUAGCCGACCUGAGAGGGUGAUCGGCCACACUGGAACUGAGACACGGUCCAGACUCCUACGGGAGGCAGCAGUAGGGAAUCUUCCGCAAUGGGCGAAAGCCUGACGGAGCAACGCCGCGUGAGUGAUGAAGGUCUUCGGAUCGUAAAACUCUGUUAUUAGGGAAGAACAAAUGUGUAAGUAACUAUGCACGUCUUGACGGUACCUAAUCAGAAAGCCACGGCUAACUACGUGCCAGCAGCCGCGGUAAUACGUAGGUGGCAAGCGUUAUCCGGAAUUAUUGGGCGUAAAGCGCGCGUAGGCGGUUUUUUAAGUCUGAUGUGAAAGCCCACGGCUCAACCGUGGAGGGUCAUUGGAAACUGAAAAACUUGAGUGCAGAAGAGGAAAGUGGAAUUCCAUGUGUAGCGGUGAAAUGCGCAGAGAUAUGGAGGAACACCAGUGGCGAAGGCGACUUUCUGGUCUGUAACUGACGCUGAUGUGCGAAAGCGUGGGGAUCAAACAGGAUUAG